rnacentral:RNase_P_RNA from 1 species
GAGCGGGCCGGGCAGCCGCGUGCCUUUCGGCAUGAGGAAAGUCCGAGCUUCACAGGGCAGGAUAACGGCUAACGGCCGCCGGGGGCGACCCUAGGGAAAGUGCAACAGAGAGAUACCGCCGUGCUUUUACACGGUAAGGGUGGAAAGGCGAGGUAAGAGCUCACCGGCGCAUGGGAGACCAUGCGGCCCUGCAAACCCUAUCCGAAGCAACGCCGACCGAAGCGAUACAUUGGCCCGAUGUGCUUCAACGGGCGGCUAGAGCCGUAUGGCAACAUGCGGUCGAGAUAGAUGGCUGUCCAAGACAGAACUCGGCUUACAGGCCCGCUCAU